AAAAGAAAGAAAGAAAGAAAGAAAGAAAGAAAGAAAGAAAGAAAGAAAGGGAAAAGGGGAAGUAUUACUAAGGGGAAUCCCAGUGGAGAUCAGCGGGGGAAUCAACAAACUGGGUUAGGUUUCCACCUGAGGUUCAAGAGGAAAGUGUGUGGGUGCAUGACCACAUGUGGUUGCUCCGCCCUCCAUAGAUCUUUGUUCUGCAUCAGUGGUGAGGGGUUGCUUUCUCCUGUCUGCCCCCUUCCUGUCACACACCAUUUCUAUGACAGAGAGCAAAGACAGGCAGCCCAGACCCCAGCCCUCUUUGCAAUGUCAGCCUCGAUUUUAUUCAACCAUAUCUGUCUCAGUCACCAAAUAGGGUAGAAGAGUGUUCGUUCAACCUUUCUUCUAAAACUGUGAUUAACACAUCUCUAAGGAAUGUGGAGAACUCACGAGAGCGUCAUCCUGGAAUUAAACAGGAACGGAGGCGGGGCUUGUAGCACCGCUGGCCUCCUGUGCACUCAGGCUGGGAGACCCUGUGUCCGUUGACUUGUCGGAAUUCUGCAGCCCCGUGAAAACGUGAACCCAUCACUUCCGACGGUGUCAACAAAUCUCACGGACAUAACGUCAAAUGUAAGAAGCUGCUCGCUAGCAUCCGUUCUAUACUAUUUCAUUAUCACCAAGUUCAAGAACAGGCAAAGGGGGUCUCCACUCACGGUGAGGAUUAAAUGAGUAGAUUCGUGUAAAGUCCUUGGAAAAGUAAACAACUGGAAAUCAAUCAAUAAA